GCCAGAGAAUUACGAGCAAACUCAAAACUCAAAGGACUUGACGGUGUCCCAAAUCAACCUAGAGGAGCCUGUCCUAUAAUCGAUAAUCCACGCUACACCUCACCCCCUCUCGAAACCAGUCUGUAUACCGCCGUCUCCCAGUUCGCUUUAUGACAGACCCAUAGCGAACACAGCAGCCCACCACUCAAACGUCAGGUCAAGGUGCAGCUAAUGGGGGGGGCAGCGAUGGGCUACAUUUUCUGCAACAGAACACCACCAACCACCAUAUGAAACAUGGGUCACAAGGCGGAUUUAACAGUAAGCCAGACAAGAAUGUUUGACUGAAGCCUGCUCUGGG
rnacentral:rRNA from 1 species